AACGCACCUUGCGCUCCUUGGUAUUCCGAGGAGCAUGCCUGUUUGAGUGUCAUGAAACUCUCAAACUCUUGUUUUGGAUGCAAAUCCUUGCUUGAGUUUGGACUUGGGUGUUUGCCGGUGAUGAACCGACUCGCCUUAAACAUAUUAGCUGGACUUGUCUAUAUGACUGGUUUGACUUGGCAUAAUAAGUAUUUUGCUAAGGACAUCUUCGGAUGGCCAGUACCUAGGCUCUGUGUCUGCUAACUAAACCAUCACUUGAAGUGCAUCUUUAUGGUGUUGCUUCCUGUGUAUACUUUGACAUCUGACCUCAAAUCAGGUAGGACUACCCGCUGAACUUAA
rnacentral:misc_RNA from 1 species